rnacentral:lncRNA from 1 species
CCCCAAGACUGGGCAUUUAUUAAUGUGGUCAAGCGUAGAAUUCCUUAUAAGGUGAAUAUUAAGGUUUAUUAUGGGACUCAAAGUGCAGCCAUGUGGCCGAUUAAGCUGGUUGCUUCUCAGGCUGCCUGGUUCUCGGUAGACAGACUGGAGCCCUGUAUCGAGAACUGAUCACAGAGGUAUAAGGACAAUCAAAAUUGAAAGUUUGUUGAUUCGUUUUUUAAGAGAUUCUUCAUCUGAGCAUGAAGAUGCCAUUUUGUCUUAAGGGUUUAGACCUCAGUACCUUUGAUGAUAAUUUACAGUUGAAGGCUCUUAACUGCUCUGUGAGAAUCUGGUCGUGGUCUAAAUUGGCGUUGCUUUCAGGACGGGUCUUCCUGUUUCCUCGGAAGCCCAUGAGUUGGCAAAAGCCAGGAUGUGUUUCCUUUCCUUUCCUUCAUUCCUUUUAUUUGUUUCCCCAGGUGACUCUCAAACAUCUACUGUAGAGUACAUUUUGUGAAAAGCUGGGCUAAGCAUAUUCUGAAAUCUGUAGGUAGUGACGUGGUGCUCACUGACGCUGCUUCACGCGGUGGCUGACCCAGCAGGUGCCAAAGACGGGUGAUGUAGAGGCAGCCACUGCACGGGGGCAUCGGCCACCUUCCUGAGUAGAGCCUGAGCCCUUGGGGGCAUCUUUGCCAUCCUUCAUAACAGGUGUAUGUGGAUAGGCUGAGGUCGGGUGCAGGUCUCCGCAGAUGCAAUCUGCAUCUGCAGCUUCCGUGUCGCUAUGAAACUGCAGUUAUGCCGCUGGAGGGUCUCGUUCCGCCUGGAAUCCAGCCAGUCGUGGUCAUGCGCGCAGCUCAAGAUGUCAUGUUGGCAGAUCUCAUUCUCGAUCUGAAAGCACCGCCGACAGGGCCACCAACAUCUCCAAGAAUGGAUGGAUACAAUUUCAGACAAUCACCUGGGCCCGGAGCAAUGUUUACAUGAUGUAUAAGCAGAAAGUAUUUGCAAUUACAGGUGUUCCUUUUUUAAAAUGGAAACUGAGUGAAAACAUGUUAUGUACAUUUUUGUACAUGACUGUAUUUUGUAGAAACUUAAAUAAAAUAUUUUUCAUCAUGCA